rnacentral:sRNA from 1 species
GUACAAGUUAAAAUUAUCAAUUGGGUUGGUGACAUAUAUCAAGUGCAAAUGCCUGUCUGGUGGGAAGAUAUUAUAGUAUUGCUACAACGGUAUGGAUUCAAUAGACAGGCAGCAGUAAAGAUGAUGUUACUUAUAAAACUUCAUCAAGCUAAAGAAGCGACGAUUGUAAUAGAAUAUCCAGAAGCAAACCAAUUACACUUUGAAAGCUUAUCGAGUUUAAGGAAAUAUUCUUCUGGAGAUAUCGUUCAGUGGCCAUCAUUAAAGAAAGUGACUUUGAACGAUUGUCCCAACAUAACAAAGUCUGGUUUGGGAAGAACAAAAUCAGUAAUCUUGGAAAAUCAAGCAUCUCUGGCAGAUAUUUUUGAAUCAUGGGAUGAUGAGUUUUCAACGAUUGUUGAAUAUGAGAUUGGUGACACUGAGGAAUUACACAAAAGAAUGUACAACCUUCGACCUUCACAUUUCACUAACAUUGUAGUGUUUCGAGCAAAAAACUGUGAUGAAAACUUGACUGAAUUUAUAUAUAUUUUGAUGAAGAGGUCAAAAAAGCUUCAAGUUAUUGAAAUUCGGUGUUGUAAAACAUCACGAUAUCUAUUUGAAAUUUUGGAUCCUACUUUUUUGGGUGAAGAGUAUUUGAGAGGAAUAAAGGAAUUAAAGGUAAUCCAAGUAUAUGAGAUGGUGUCAUUAUGCAGUUGGGAUGUUGCAGAAUAUUUGGACUUCAAAAGUCUGCAAAUUGUACACCUCAAAAGUUGUCCCUCUAUAAAGGUUCUAUUCUAUCCAUCAUCCUUUUCCACACGGCUUUACGAACUAAAGGAAUUAAAGUUAGAGGCAUGUGAGGAUUUAGAGCAAGUAGUAGAUGAAUACUUCGAAUAUUCUUUGUCCUUCCCAAGAUUAAGUAAAGUGGAGCUAAAGUCUCUCUCAAAAUUCAGGAGGUUUACCAAAAUUGGGAGAGAUUUUUCAAGUUUGAAAACUUUGAUAAUAGAAGAAUGUCCUUGUUUAGAAGAGUUUACAGUAAACCAAGCAAUUUUAGUAGAUUUCUUAGAUCUAACGAAUAAAGCUUUACCUGAGUUGGAUGAAUUGAGAUUAGAUGGUUGUGACGUGUUGCUCUACGUAGCCUUCUUUAAGACACCGUCCGAGAAGAUGAAAUUGAAGAAAGUCUUUGUGAGUAAUUGCUAUGCAUUGAAAAUGGUAAUACUGGUGAAGGAAAUACCUAACUCUAUAGAGCUCCUCCACGAAUUAGAUGAAUUGAUUUUGAUUAAUCUUCCUAAUUUAACUCACAUCAUCGACAAAGAAUGUGUUAGGUUAUAUCAAAAUCUACGUACUCUACAAGUAGAAAGAUGUGGGUUUCUUCAUUGGUUGCCAAUUCCUCUAACUUUAACAAAUAUGAAAAUUUUGGAUUGUGAUUCUUUGCAUAAGACCGUGGUCAUCAGAAAAGAAAAGGAAGAAAAAGAAAAAGUCAUUUUUUCUCAAUUAAAGGAGGUUACUCUUCAAAAUCUAAGAAAUUUGUAUACUGCAUUUCCUUUUGGGUCAGAAUUUCCAUCCUUGGAAAUACUGAAAAUAACAAAUUGUCCUUCUCUAAUCACAUUUGUUGAAGAACGCAAUGAUUUGAAAGAGCAUAAAGAACAAGCUGUUUCAACAUGUUUCUUUCCAAAUUCGUUGUCAUUGGAAAAGUUGAAGGUGCUUUAUAUAAUAGAUCAAGAUAUUAAAGAGCUUUGGCACUAUAGUUUGUCUUCUGAAUCAUUUUGUCAGAUAGAAAAUUUGACUUUAAGCAACAAUAAUAAAUUGUUAAGUGUCAUCUCUUCUAGACUGAUCAUAAGAUUCAACAACAUGAAAGAUUUCACUUUAGACAAAUGUGAAUCAUUGAUUACAAUAUUCAUUCUUGAAGAUGAUCAUCCUAUGCAAGAAAUGUUUCCUCAACUGCGGAAAAUAUCAUUGAGCAACCUAAAUAAUUUGAAAUUUAUAUGGAACAAAGAACCUAAUGUUCCAUUCUUCUCAAAUUUGGCGUCACUUUUCAUUGUCCAUUGUGAUAGCAUUGAAAGUUUAUUUUCACUUUCUUCCUCCAAAUAUCUUAAGAAACUCAAAUUACUGAGGCUGUAUAGUUGUAAAGAACUAAAGCAAGUGAUCUCGAGUGAUGAAGAUGAAAAUGCAUCUACCAAUUUUCCCCAAAUGAAAUGUCUAGUAUUGAAGGAUCUUCCAAAGUUGGUGAAUUUCAGUCAUUAUCAUGGAACUCUUGAUUGGCCUAGUUUACAAACUUUAAGGGUUAGCAAUGUUCCAAGUAUGAAAAUAUUUUCAAGAGGCAACAUCAACACACCAUUGUUGAGAUCAAUAGAUAUAACAUUUAUUAAGAAGCUUUGGUUUGAAAAUCUAAAUAAGACUAUAUCAUUUAUUUACAACAAUCCAGAAUUAAU